GUGGGUAGAGCUCAGUGGCAGAGUGUGUGCCUAGCAUCCAUGAAAUCCUGAGUUCAAUCCCCAGUACCUCUA
rnacentral:tRNA from 1 species